rnacentral:rRNA from 1 species
AGAGUUUGAUCCUGGCUCAGAACGAACGCUGGCGGCGUGCUUAACACAUGCAAGUCGAACGCGAAAGCCUGGGCAACCGGGUGAGUAGAGUGGCGCACGGGUGAGUAACACGUGGGUAACCUACCUUCGAGUGGGGAAUAACUCCUCGAAAGGGGAGCUAAUACCGCAUAAGACCACGAUCUCUUCGGAGGUUGCGAUCAAAGAUGGCCUCAUUAGAUAGAGCGUUUGGGAUAAUCUUCCUAAAUGGAAGAUAAUCCUUAGCGCUUUUUCGAGUGAAGCUGUUGCUCGAAGAGGGGCCCGCGUCCCAUCAGCUAGUUGGUAGGGUAAUGGCCUACCAAGGCGACGACGGGUAGCUGGUCUGAGAGGACGACCAGCCACACGGGAAUUGAGAUACGGUCCCGACUCCUACGGGAGGCAGCAGUGGGGAAUCUUGGGCAAUGGGGGAAACCCUGACCCAGCGACGCCGCGUGGGGGAUGAAGGCCUUCGGGUCGUAAACCCCUGUUAGGUGGGACGAACAUCUUCUAGUAAAUAGCUAGGAGAUCUGACGGUACCACCAAAGAAAGCCCCGGCUAGCUCCGUGCCAGCAGCCGCGGUAAUACGGAGGGGGCGAGUGUUGUUCGGAAUUACUGGGCGUAAAGGGCGCGCAGGCGGCUUGGCAAGUCGAGUGUGAAAUCCCUUGGCUUAACUGAGGAAUGGCGCUCGAAACUACCUCGCUGGAGGGCGGGAGAGGGAAGUGGAACUCUCGGUGUAGGGGUGAAAUCUGUAGAUAUCGAGAGGAACACCGGUGGCGAAAGGCGGC